rnacentral:rRNA from 1 species
ACGCAACCGGGCGCCGACUGCGGUGCAAGUCCCCCUGACUGGGGCUCUUACCCCGAGAGGGUGCAAGGCCCGUAGCGGCCGCAGUCCGGUCCCGGAUGUCCUCUCCUAGGAGUCGGGUUGCUUGAGAGUGCAGCCCCAAUCAGGUGGUAAACUCCAUCUAAGGCUAAAUACGACCAGGAGACCGAUAGCGAACAAGUACCGUGAGGGAAAGUUGAAAAGGACUUUGAAGAGAGAGUUCAAGAGUACGUGAAACCGUUGGGAGGUAAACGAGUGGGCCCUCGAAGUUUGGCGGACGGGGGGACUCAGCCGAACGCGUGCCGUCCCGGCUCGCGCCCGCGCUUCCCCAAGGGGACGCGGCGCGGGUCGAAGGGCUGCCGCGCGCGGCGCAUUUCCUCCCGUCCUCAGACGCAGCGACCGGUCGGGUGCCACCAGCAGUCGGCCUUACUCGCGGGAGCCGGCAGGUAGCCGGGCGUGGGCGCUUGCGCCUUCCGCCCGGUGUUUAGCCGUCCCGUCAUCGAGUCGGCCGUUCACCCGACCGCAGGACGAAGGCCCUCAGGGGCCCCGCCGUGCCCUCCCCCCUUCACGGGGGGGAGCGUCUCGCGCUCCGGAAGGGAGGCCGUCGUCCCCCUCGUUUCGCCCUAGUGCGUUCGAGGGGCGGCGGCGCCCGAUGGCCGGGGCGCUUGCGUGCGGGCUCAGGCGGUCCGCUGCGAGUAGGUCGGUCACCCACUCGACCCGUCUUGAAACACGGACCAAGGAGUUUAACAUGCGCGCGAGUCUUUGGGUCGUGAACAGGCCCACAGGCGCAAUGAAAGUGAAAGGGGGCUCCUGUCGCCCCCCACGUUGGGAUCCGCGCCCUCGGGCGCGGCGCACCAACGGCUCGUCCGGGCCGCCUCGUCGGCCGGGCGAAGCGAGAGCGCGCACGUUGAGACCC